rnacentral:rRNA from 1 species
CGGGUGGUAAUGCCGGAUGCUCCAUCACACCGCAUGGUGUGUUGGGAAAGCCUUUGCGGCAUGGGAUGGGGUCGCGUCCUAUCAGCUUGAUGGCGGGGUAACGGCCCACCAUGGCUUCGACGGGUAGCCGGCCUGAGAGGGCGACCGGCCACAUUGGGACUGAGAUACGGCCCAGACUCCUACGGGAGGCAGCAGUGGGGAAUAUUGCACAAUGGGCGCAAGCCUGAUGCAGCGACGCCGCGUGAGGGAUGGAGGCCUUCGGGUUGUAAACCUCUUUUAUCAGGGAGCAAGGCUUCGGUUGAGUGUACCUGUUGAAUAAGCACCGGCUAACUACGUGCCAGCAGCCGCGGUAAUACGUAGGGUGCAAGCGUUAUCCGGAAUUAUUGGGCGUAAAGGGCUCGUAGGCGGUUCGUCGCGUCCGGUGUGAAAGUCCAUCGCUUAACGGUGGAUCCGCGCCGGGUACGGGCGGGCUUGAGUGCGGUAGGGGAGACUGGAAUUCCCGGUGUAACGGUGGAAUGUGUAGAUAUCGG